AAGAGGCAUGCCCAAGAGCUGAACUCAGCGGCCACACACAGUGAUUCAGCAAUUUACCAGUAGAAAAUAUGACAGCGAGAAGAGGAGAAUUUUUCAUCCUGGAUUUGGAAGAGGAAGAGAAGACAACAGACCACUGAAGGAAUGAAUGCUCCUCAGGCCAUGUUGCAGGAGACAACACAUGCACAGCACUGCUUCCUGAGAUCACACUGUGCCUCUCCAGGCAACACAUUUCAUUGAAAUGAAAUAUCAGCUCUUCCUCAAAUCGUCAAGUUAAAAAGCAUACCUUAAUGAGAGCUCUCUCAAUCUUUCUAUUAAAUGAUUCCAUGUGGGUGUGACGUGGCUCCAUGAAGAAAUGAAAGGUAAUGGCCUUUAAAAAACAACUUUUUCCAAGAAAACUCUGGCCUUCUAGGAGACAACUGUUUGUGACUCCUUGGGUAUGUGGCUUGCUUAAAAGAAAAAAAAAGUGCAACUCUCCAAGAGAAAAAUGGAAAUCAGUAGUGGAGAGAGAAAAAGAAGGACUUUCAAAGCUUGACGCGAAAUUCCUUUCUGAGACUCACAUGAGCACUUUAGCUCUAGAACAAUGUUUCCAGAAACUCAAUCUAUCAAUGGGGAAUUUGGUCUACUCUUAUUUUACGGCAUAUCUGCCAAAAAAAAAAAAAAAAAGUCAUAUAUGGCAUGUUUUGACUUGGCUCUAAGCUUUCUAAAAGCUUUUCUUUCUUUUUCAGCUGAAACUCUGAAACUUACCUGCUACCCUUCUGGCCCAAAGCCAGUUCAUUACUAAAUCUGCACUGGGCUGUGUUCCUCUGUAUUCCAGCCAGACUCCUAUUUCAGACUUUGGCACAAAUGACAGAGUGCUGAUAGUGAAGCCACAAAAUGUUAAGAUGAGGUCAUUUGGGAAGGGGCAGGGGGAAGAAAGUAUGGAAUUUCUUGGGUAAAGCCUGUAAACGGCUAAAUAAGCUGAGAACACUCAAUUGCUGACGAACCAACAGGCAGAUUCCCCUGGUGCCACUAGGAUGACAAGCCACUGUCUUCACAGUUGCUAAGACAACUUCAUGAUCAAAGGAUUUAGACGAUCCACUUUCUAUCUCCUGGGAGAUAGGCAGUUGGGGAAUCUGCUUUAUUAUUCCCUCAUUUCUUUAUCCAUCCAUCCCCUUACUAACUAAUUCAACCAGCCAAUUAAGAGCAAUUUUAUUUUGAAUAGUACACAACCGUGCUUCUAAAAAUUUCAUGAAAGUUCAAAUUACUUGGGAAUCUUGUUAAAAUGUAGUCUUUGAUUCAGGAGUCUGGGGUGGGCUCAAAAUUCUGCAUUUCUCCUAAGCUCCCAGGUGAUACCUGUGCUGCUCCUGCAAGGGUGGGAAAGAAAUACAGUUGACUCUUGAACAGCAAAGGGGUUGGGGGUCCCAAUCCUCCGCACAGUCAAAAAUCUGUGUGUUACUUAUACUCGGCCCUUUGUAUAUGAGCUUCCUCCGAAUCUGCGAUUCUCUGGAUUCGACCAAUCACGGGUCAUGUAGUGCUGUAGUACUUACUGUCGCGUGUAAAUGGACCCAUGCAGUUCAAACCCGUUUUGUUUAAGGGUCAACAGUACACCCAUUUUACUUCCCUUUCCCCUACACCAGUGGUUUUCAAACUUGUUAGAAAAAUGCAAAUUCUCAGGCCCAACCCAGACCUGUUAAAACUUGGGGUUUGGAUUCAGCAACGCUUGUAUUUCCAAGCCCCCAAGGUUAUUCUGUUGUAUGCUCAAGUUUCAGAACCACUGAGUCUAGACCAUUGUUCUUAAAGCCAGGCUGUGCCUUAGAAUCACUUGGGGUAGCUUGCAGGUUAAAUUGAUUCCCACAAAAAAGAAAUGCUUAAGUCAUAACCCCAGAUACCCGUGAAUGUGACCUUAUUUGGAAAGAGUCUUUGCGGAUGGAAUCAAGUUAAGAUGAGAUCAGACCUGAUACGGUUGGGUCCCAAAUCCCAUGACCAGCGUUCGUAUAAGAAGAAUGAGAUUUGGAGACACAGACACAGGAAAGAAGGCUAUGCAAUGAACGAGGCAGAAAUUGGAGUGAUGCCGCUAUAAGCCAGGGAGUGCCAACGAGCCUGCAACCAGCAGAAGUUAGGAGAGAAGCAUGCAACAGAUUCUUCCCUAGAGCCUUCAGAGGAAGCAUGGCCCUGCCAACACCUUGAUUUCACACUUCUAAUCUCCAGAACCCUGAGAGAAUAAAUUUCUGUUGUCUUAAGUCACCAAAUUUGUAGUACUCUGUUAUGGCAGCCCCAGGAAACUAAUUACAGAGCUUUGGGAAACAAACAAACAAAAAUAACCAAAGCCUAUUCCCUUAUCAUAUAAAUCAGAAUCUCUGGGGAUGGGAACAUCUGAAUGAAGGUUUCUAAAAUCUCCCUCAAGGGAUUACAACAUGUGCUCAGGGUUGAAAUCCACAGCUCUAGACAUUUCUAGACAUAAAUAGAUUGUUUAUACUUCAUUUUGCAAUAAAUAAAAAACACUACAAGCAGUUGAAUAUCAGUAUAAGGUUAUCUGUAAAUUUUUUAAGUAUCAAAAUGAGUUAUGUAGAUAAGAAGUAUACUAAGACAAUAGUUCUCAGAGUUUGGUUAGGGAAACACUUAGAAUCACCUGUGGUCUGUUAAUCAGGUGGGUUCUGGGCCCCAUCUCAAACUUAAUGACCAGACUCUCCUGGGGUAGGGCCUGAGUAGCACAAGUUCUCAAGCUCCCUUCAGAUGAUCCCUAUGUACACUGAAGUUUGAAAGCCAUCUCUACAGAGGUGACUGAGCAGGCUUGAGCCACUUGGGACAACCUCCGUGAAGAUGAAGAAAUUGGAGGAACCCAGUAAGGGGGCACAAGUGAAUAAUGUCAUCAGAAGGAACUGUUGAGAAACUUAGCCGCUGGAGCAAAGAAGGGCCUUUCUGGAAGCUGAUGGACAUCAGGUAGGGCUGGUGAGGGAAUAGAGAACUUUGGAACGCAGGUGAUAAAAUAUGGUUGAAGGAACACCAUCGGUCUCCCCUGGGAGUUGAGCUGAAAUGCAAAUUUGUGGGCUCACCACAGUCCUUUUGAAUCAGAGACUGCAUUUUAACAAGAUCUCCAGAUAAUAUGGACGUACAGUAAAUUUUGAGAAGCGCUGUCCUGGUGGCAGUAAGAAAGCUGUCAGAAGUUUAUGAGCCAGGAAGUGAUAUAAUAAAACUAUGCAUGAGUAGGCUUACCUUCGUGGGGACGUUUAGGGUAAACUGGGAGGCUUGCAGAGCUUUCCCAUAAAAAUCUCUGCAGUGAUGGAAAUGUUCUACAUCUGCACUGUUUAAUAUAUUAGCCACAUGUGGCCACUGAGCCAGUGAAAUGUGGCUGGUGGGAUAGAGAAACUGACCUUUUUAUUUUUUAUAAUUUUAAUUAAUUUACAUUUAAAUCACCACAUGUGGUAGCGGCUAUUGUAUUGGACAAUACAGGCUUGGAGGCUGCAGAUAUGAAGACUAGUGAGGAAGCGUCAGUGGCCAGAGGACGCUCUGACUGCACCUGUGGGUAUGACAUUGUCAUACGACAUCAAGUGUUAGUUCGCACACCAUUUUCAUAUGUGCUCAGGAAAAUGGGCAAUGUAAUUUUCUGUUGAGUGAAGUAAUUAGUCAAUGAUCGUUAACUUGUGCUUCCAGUAAACUUUCAGUUACAAAGGA